rnacentral:rRNA from 1 species
UACGUAGGGUGCGAGCGUUAAUCGGAAUUACUGGGCGUAAAGCGUGCGCAGGCGGUUUUGUAAGCCAGAUGUGAAAUCCCCGGGCUUAACCUGGGAAUGGCAUUUGGGACUGCAAGGCUUGAGUGCGGCAGAGGAGACUGGAAUUCCUGGUGUAGCAGUGAAAUGCGUAGAUAUCAGGAGGAACACCGAUGGCGAAGGCAGGUCGUCUGGGCUGACACUGACGCUCAUGCACGAAAGCGUGGGGAGCAAACAGG